GGCCCCUGAUCGGGGUUGCGGACAGUGUCUGGUGGGUAGUUUGACUGGGGCGGUCUCCUCCUAAAGAGUAACGGAGGAGCACGAAGGUUGGCUAAUCCUGGUCGGACAUCAGGAGGUUAGUGCAAUGGCAUAAGCCAGCUUGACUGCGAGCGUGACGGCGCGAGCAGGUGCGAAAGCAGGUCAUAGUGAUCCGGUGGUUCUGAAUGGAAGGGCCAUCGCUCAACGGAUAAAAGGUACUCCGGGGAUAACAGGCUGAUACCGCCCAAGAGUUCAUAUCGACGGCGGUGUUUGGCACCUCGAUGUCGGCUCAUCACAUCCUGGGGCUGAAGUAGGUCCCAAGGGUAUGGCUGUUCGCCAUUUAAAGUGGUACGCGAGCUGGGUUUAGAACGUCGUGAGACAGUUCGGUCCCUAUCUGCCGUGGGCGCUGGAGAACUGAGGGGGGCUGCUCCUAGUACGAGAGGACCGGAGUGGACGCAUCACUGGUGUUCGGGUUGUCAUGCCAAUGGCACUGCCCGGUAGCUAAAUGCGGAAGAGAUAAGUGCUGAAAGCAUCUAAGCACGAAACUUGCCCCGAGAUGAGUUCUCCCUGACUCCUUGAGAGUCCUGAAGGAACGUUGAAGACGACGACGUUGAUAGGCCGGGUGUGUAAGCGCAGCGAUGCGUUGAGCUAACCGGUACUAAUGAACCGUGAGGCUUAACCUU
rnacentral:rRNA from 1 species